rnacentral:rRNA from 1 species
AUGAACGCUGGCGGCGUGCCUAAUACAUGCAAGUCGAACGCGAUGAUUUAUCAUCGAGUGGCGAACGGGUGAGUAAUACAUAAGUAACCUGCCCUAGACAGGGGGAUAACUAUUGGAAACGAUAGCUAAGACCGCAUAGGUAUGGGUAACACAUGUUACCGAUAUUAAAGGAGCUACGGCUCUGGUAGAGGAUGGACUUAUGGCGCAUUAGCUAGUUGGUAAGGUAAGGGCUUACCAAGGCGACGAUGCGUAGCCGACCUGAGAGGGUGACCGGCCACACUGGGACUGAGACACGGCCCAGACUCCUACGGGAGGCAGCAGUAGGGAAUUUUCGGCAAUGGGGGGAACCCUGACCGAGCAACGCCGCGUGAAGGAAGAAGGAAUUCGUUUUGUAAACUUCUGUUAUAAAGGAAGAACGAUAUAUAUAGGGAAUGAUAUAUAGGUGACGGUACUUUAUAAGAAAGCCACGGCUAACUACGUGCCAGCAGCCGCCGUAAGAC